GCCAUGCUCUCUUCUCAUUGCUACCAUCAGGAAGGAGGUAAUCUUACUAGAAAGAGACCUUAUUGACGACCCUUAAUUGGCCCCUGAGUUAAGUGAUUUGCUCAAUCUUUUUGGAAAGCAGUUCAGAAUCAGCCAUGGAGUCAUAAGAAGAUUAAACAAGCUUCCUUCAGCCAAGGGCAGACAUCAAUCCUGAUGUUUGGAAGAAGUGUCAAGAAAGACAAGAAACCGUUGACUCCUUGCUGUGUACAAGCAUGUUGCAAAUUCAAUGCCCAGGACAUUCACAGCAGCAACAAAGGGCAGCUGUUGGAAAAUGCAUGAACAGUUAAA